GUUGAAAUCCGUGACAGAUUGAACACCAUAUGGUAUUUUGAAGAUUUUGGGAGCUACAGAAGUCUGAUUAAGUUGAUUCAAAUUUUGUUGGAAAGUAGACAUCCGUAGCUUUCCAAUAACUAUAAUAACAUAAAAUUUGGAGAUCAGAUAACAUUUGAGGAGUCUCCCGAACUUCAUGCUGAUGUUGGUACCCGAGAAGGAGUUCCACCUAAAUAAAUAUUCAUGGCAUGCGGCUGAAUUCCUUUUGAUGGGUUUCAAUC
rnacentral:lncRNA from 1 species